rnacentral:rRNA from 1 species
AGAGUUUGAUCCUGGCUCAGAAUCAACGCUGGCGGCGUGCCUAACACAUGCAAGUCGCACGAGAAAGUGGAGCAAUCCAUGAGUAAAGUGGCGUACGGGUGAGUAACACGUGGAUAAUCUGCCCUUUAGUGGGGAAUACCGCUGGGAAACCGGCGACAAUACCGCAUAAGCUCGAGAGAGGAAAGCAGCAAUGCGCUGAAGGAGGAGUCCGCGGUCGAUUAGUUAGUUGGCGGGGUAAAGGCCUACCAAGACUGUGAUCGAUAGCCGGCCUGAGAGGGCACACGGCCACACUGGCACUGAAACACGGGCCAGACUCCUACGGGAGGCAGCAGUGGGGAAUCUUGCACAAUGGGGGAAACCCUGAUGCAGCGACGCCGCGUGAGCGAUGAAGCCCCUCGGGGUGUAAAGCUCUUUCGGCAGGGAAGAUUAUGACGGUACCUGCAAAAGCAGCUGCGGCUAACUACGUGCCAGCAGCCGCGGUAAUACGUAGGCAGCAAGCGUUGUUCGGAGUUACUGGGCGUAAAGGGUGCGUAGGCGGCUUUUUAAGUUUGGUGUGAAAUCUCCCGGCUCAACUGGGAGGGUGCGCCGAAUACUGAGAGGCUAGAGUGUGGGAGAGGAAAGUGGAAUUCCUGGUGUAGCGGUGAAAUGCGUAGAUAUCAGGAGGAACACCGGUGGUGUAAACGGCUUUCUGGACCAUAACUGACGCUGAGGCACGAAAGCGUGGGUAGCAAACAGGAUUAGAUACCCUGGUAGUCCACGCCCUAAACGAUGCAUAUUUGGUGUGGGCCAUUCAUUUGGUCUGUGCCGGAGCUAACGCGUUAAAUAUGCCGCCUGGGGAGUACAGUCGCAAGGCUGAAACUCAAAGGAAUUGACGG